GAAACCGUGUACGUACAAGCAGUGGGAGCACAGGUUUACCUGUGUGACUGCGUACCUUUUGUAUAAUGGGUCAGCGACUUAUAUUCUGUAGCAAGGUUAACCGAAUAGGGGAGCCGGAGGGAAACCGAGUCUUAAUUGGGCGUUAAGUUGCAGGGUAUAGACCCGAAACCCGGUGAUCUAGCCAUGGGCAGGUUGAAGGUUGGGUAACACUAACUGGAGGACCGAACCGACUAAUGUUGAAAAAUUAGCGGAUGACCUGUGGCUGGGGGUGAAAGGCCAAUCAAACCGGGAGAUAGCUGGUUCUCCCCGAAAGCUAUUUAGGUAGCGCCUCGUGAAUUCAUCUCCGGGGGUAGAGCACUGUUUCGGCUAGGGGGCCAUCCCGGCUUACCAACCCGAUGCAAACUGCGAAUACCGGAGAAUGUUAUCACGGGAGACACACGGCGGGUGCUAACGUCCGUCGUGAAGAGGGAAACAACCCAGACCGCCAGCUAAGGUCCCAAAGUCAUGGUUAAGUGGGAAACGAUGUGGGAAGGCCCAGACAGCCAGGAUGUUGGCUUAGAAGCAGCCAUCAUUUAAAGAAAGCGUAAUAGCUCACUGGUCGAGUCGGCCUGCGCGGAAGAUGUAACGGGGCUAAACCAUGCACCGAAGCUGCGGCAGCGACGCUGAUGCGUUGUUGGGUAGGGGAGCGUUCUGUAAGCCUGCGAAGGUGGCCUGUGAGGG
rnacentral:rRNA from 1 species